CGCUCUUUGUUGAUUUAAGUAAAUUUACUAUAUAAAGAGUCGAACCUGCCCAGUGACAGACAUGUUAAACGGCCGCGGUACCCUGACCGUGCAAAGGUAGCAUAAUCAUUUGCCUUUUAAUUGGAGGCUGGUAUGAAUGGUUUGACGAGAGCUAAGCUGUCUCUUUCUAAAUUUUUAAAAAUUAACUUACAGGUGAAGAGGCCUGUAUUUAAUUGAGGGACAAGAAGACCCUAUUGAGCUUUAGUAUAAUUAAAAAUUUUGAUGAUAUUUUUAUCUAUGUUAUAUUUAUAUAAAUAUAUUUUUUAAUGAAUCUUUAGUUGGGGCGACUAAGGAACACAUAAAGCUUCCUUUAAAUUAUUAUAAAAGCGAUAGGCAUAUUUUAUUUUUAGAUCCAGUAUUUACUGAUCAGAGGAAAAAGUUACCAUAGGGAUAACAGCGUAAUCUUUCUAAAGAGUUCUUAUCGAAGGAAAGGUUUGCGACCUCGAUGUUGGACUAAGAUUUCCUAAGGGUGUAGAAGCUCUUGAUGGUUAGUCUGUUCGACUAUUAAAAUCUU
rnacentral:rRNA from 1 species